UACAGUAGGGUCGCGAGCGUUAAUGCGGAAUCACUGGGCGUAAAGCGCACGUAGGCGGACUUUUAAGUCAGGGGUGAAAUCCUGGAGCUCAACUCCAGAACUGCCUUUGAUACUGGAAGUCUUGAGUUCGAGAGAGGUGAGUGGAACUGCGAGUGUAGAGGUGAAAUUCGUAGAUAUUCGCAAGAACACCAGUGGCGAAGGCGGCUCACUGGCCCGAUACUGACGCUGAGGCACGAAAGCGUGGGGAGCAAACAGG
rnacentral:rRNA from 1 species